GAUGAACGCUGGCGGCGUGCUUAACACAUGCAAGUCGAACGGAAAGGCCCUGCUUUUGUGGGGUGCUCGAGUGGCGAACGGGUGAGUAACACGUGAGUAACCUGCCCUUGACUUUGGGAUAACUUCAGGAAACUGGGGCUAAUACCGGAUAGGAGCUCCUGCUGCAUGGUGGGGGUUGGAAAGUUUCGGCGGUUGGGGAUGGACUCGCGGCUUAUCAGCUUGUUGGUGGGGUAGUGGCUUACCAAGGCUUUGACGGGUAGCCGGCCUGAGAGGGUGACCGGCCACAUGGGGACUGAGAUACGGAGCAGACGGGAACGUGAGGCAGCAGGGGGGAAUAUUGCACAAUGGGCGGAAGUGUGAUGCGGCAGCGCCGCGUGCGGGAUGACGUCUUUCGGGUUGUAAACCGCUUUCGCCUGUGACGAAGCGGGAUUGACGGUAAUUGGUAAAGAAGCACCGGCUAACUACGUG
rnacentral:rRNA from 1 species